GGAACCUUAAAUGAGGUCAUCCAAACACUCUUAGGCUCCGCCUAGUUUGCAUUUCUUGCACUUUAAUUUCUUGCUUAUUUUCAUAGCUUAUUUCCUUUACCCUCCAUUGUCAAACCGCCUAGAUAGCUUGCCUUUUACCAAUUAGUUUUACCUUAUCUUUCACACUUCUUUUAGUGUUUAUUUUUGGCUAGUUUCAACCAUAGUUUCUUUUACCUUUUGUUUUCAAACCCCCAACAAGAAAGAACCAUAACUUGGGAACCAACAUGAG
rnacentral:lncRNA from 1 species